UAAAGGUAAAGGGACCCCUGACCAUUAGGUCCAGUCGUGGCCGACUCUGGGGUUGCGGCGCUCAUCUCGCUUUAUUGGCCGAGGGAGCCGGCGUACAGCUUCCGGGUCAUGUGGCCAGCAGGACUAAGCCACUUCUGGCGAACCAGAGCAGCGCACGGAAACGCCGUUUACCUUCCCGCUGGAGCGGUACCUAUUUAUCUACUUGCACUUUGAAGUGCUUUCGAACUGCUAGGUUGGCAGGAGCAGGGACCAAGCAACGGGAGCUCACCCCGUCACGGG